rnacentral:rRNA from 1 species
GGUCCCACCUGACCCCAUGCCGAACUCAGAAGUGAAACGCCGUAGCGCCAAUGGUAGUGUGGGGUCUCCCCAUGCGAGAGUAGGGAACUGCCAGGC